rnacentral:tRNA from 1 species
UCCUGAGUGGCUCAGUCAGUUGAGCAUCUGACUUCAGCUCAGGUAAGAUCUCACAGCUGGUGAGUUCGAGCCCACGUCAGGAG